rnacentral:rRNA from 1 species
AUACGUAGGGGGCAAGCGUUGUCCGGAAUUACUGGGCGUAAAGGGCACGCAGGCGGUAUAAUAAGUCAGAUGUGAAAGUUUACAGCUUAACUGUGAAAGUGCAUUUGAAACUGAUAUACUUGAGUCUCGGAGAGGUAAGCGGAAUUCCUAGUGUAGCGGUGAAAUGCGUAGAUAUUAGGAGGAACACCGGUGGCGAAGGCGGCUUACUGGACGAGUACUGACGCUCAUGUGCGAAAGCGUGGGGAGCAAACAGGAUUAGAUACCCUGGUAGUCCACGCUGUAAACGAUGAAUACUAGGUGUUGGGGAAACUCAGUGCCGCAGUUAACACAAUAAGUAUUCCGCCUGGGGAGUACGCUCGCAAGAGUGAA